rnacentral:rRNA from 1 species
AGAGUUUGAUCAUGGCUCAGGACGAACGCUGGCGGCGCGCCUAACACAUGCAAGUCGAACGGAGCUGAGAGGAGCUUGCUUUUCUUAGCUUAGUGGCGAACGGGUGAGUAACGCGUGAGUAACCUGCCCUGGAGUGGGGGACAACAGUUGGAAACGACUGCUAAUACCGCAUAAGCCCACGGCCCGGCAUCGGGCUGAGGGAAAAGGAUUUAUUCGCUUCAGGAUGGACUCGCGUCCAAUUAGCUAGUUGGUGAGGUAACGGCCCACCAAGGCGACGAUUGGUAGCCGGACUGAGAGGUUGAACGGCCACAUUGGGACUGAGACACGGCCCAGACUCCUACGGGAGGCAGCAGUGGGGGAUAUUGCACAAUGGGGGAAACCCUGAUGCAGCGACGCCGCGUGGAGGAAGAAGGUUUUCGGAUUGUAAACUCCUGUCGUUAGGGACGAUAAUGACGGUACCUAACAAGAAAGCACCGGCUAACUACGUGCCAGCCGCCGCGGUAAUUC